rnacentral:SRP_RNA from 1 species
GCCGGGCGUGGUGGCGCGCACCUGUAGUCCCAGCUACUCGGGAGGCUGAGGUGGGAGGAUCGCUUGAGUCCAGGAGUUCUGGGCUGCAGUGCGCUAUGCCGAUCGGGUGUCCGCACUAAGUUCGGCAUCAAUAUGGUGACCUCCCGGGAGCGGGGGACCACCAGAUUGCCUAAGGAGGGGUGAACCGGCCCAGGUCGGAAACGGAGCAGGUCAAAACUCCCGUGCUGAUCAGUAGUGGGAUCGCGCCUGUGAAUAGCCACUGCACUCCAGCCUGGGCAAUAUAGUGAGACCCUGUCUCUA